GAUGAAGAACGCAGUGAAAUGCGAUAAGUAAUGUGAAUUGCAGAAUUCAGUGAACCAUCGAAUCUUUGAACGCACAUUGCGCCCGGCAGUAAUCUGCCGGGCAUGCCUGUCCGAGCGUCAUUUCUGCCCUCGAGCCUGUCCAGCAUCUAGGUGCUGUUCGGGUUCGGCGUUGGGGCACUACGGGAAGCCUCGUGCUAUCCCCCGUAGGCCCCGAAAUGAAGUGGCGGUCCUGCCGCGGCUCCCCCUGCGUAGUAUUACAGCUCGCUUCGGGACCCGGUGGAGGCCUGCCGUCAAACCUUACUCUCUAAGUUUGACCUCGGAUCAGGUAGGGUUACCCGCUGAACUUAAGCAUAUCAAUAAGCGGAGGA
rnacentral:misc_RNA from 1 species